AUUUAUGUAUGUAUGUAUAUAUGUACGUUUGAUGACAAAUAUGCUUCUAGUUUUCCAAAGACUGGAAUAAUCUACAUGAUAUCACCACUGAAGUCUCAUCUUAACUG